rnacentral:sRNA from 1 species
AGAAAAGUAGGUGCCGCCCCGCACAGGGGCAACGCUAAUAGACCACUAACACAACAAGGAAAGGCCAAAGAGUCAGACCAACAACGAAAAGCGCCGC